UCCCUGGAGAACUAGUGGUUAGGCCAAUGGCGCUCUCACCGCCGUGGCCGGGGUUCGAUUCCCGGCUGGGGAA